GAAAAAGCAGGGGCUUGCUGCUAUUUACCGUGAAUGUGUCUCUAGUAAACUUCAGGGAAAUAAAACUUGGCAUUGUUAUUGGGUGAACCUCUUGAGCUCACAAUGUAUCUGAAAUGUUAUUAUUGUGCUGAAAUG